UAAAAUGAUAUAGUAAAAAAAAUUAGUUUCAGUAACACGAUGUGCCCUUAAAGACGAGGUCAAGAAAAUGAAAAAUAGUGUAUACCCCAUUCAUACAUGAUGGAUGAUUGACACAGUGGAGAAGUCAGUCUACAGAUGAAAACUGUACAUUGGAUAUUCUUCGUUGCACAGGAAAUUAUACAAUACCACAGACAAAUUAUUCCUGUGUUCUGUCUAAUAAAGAUUUUACUGGAUGCAAAGACUUGAAAAUGAAACACAACUAUACAUCUCAAGUACAAAUAUGCGAUAAUGCCAAAAUUGAUGAAUCCGAAAAGAAAGUCCAACGUAUCUGUGGAGAUGUAUUUCGACAAAAAGAAAAAUGUCUUGUUACUGUGAAGGCUUUCAACUUGGCUGGAAACGGUUUAAAAGAAAUUCCAACAGACUGUUUUAAAAGUUUGACCAAUUUGAAACACCUAGAUUUGUCAAACAAUAAACUUUCAUUACAAAACUGUGAGAUGUUUAAUGGGCUAAUCGAACUGGAAAAUCUCAACUUAGCUGGAAACAGUUUAAAUAAAAUUCCAACAGACUGUUUUAAAAGUUUGACCAAUU